rnacentral:rRNA from 1 species
AGAGUUUGAUCCUGGCUCAGGACGAACGCUGGCGGCGUGCCUAACACAUGCAAGUCGAGCGAGGGAUUUAUGACGGAUUCCUUCGGGAUGAAGACAUAAAUCACCUAGCGGCGGACGGGUGAGUAACGCGUGAGGAACCUACCUCCUACAAGGGGAUAGCCUCGGGAAACUGGGAUUAAUACCCUAUGACACUUAAGGGUCGCAUGAUCUUUAGGUUAAAGCGAUAUAGCGGUAGGAGAUGGCCUCGCGUCCCAUUAGCUAGUUGGUGAGGUAACGGCUUACCAAGGCGACGAUGGGUAGCCGGCCUGAGAGGGUGAACGGCCACACUGGAACUGAGACACGGUCCAGACUCCUACGGGAGGCAGCAGUGGGGAAUAUUGCACAAUGGGCGAAAGCCUGAUGCAGCGACGCCGCGUGAGCGAAGAAGGCCUUCGGGUCGUAAAGCUCUGUCCUAUGGGACGAUAAUGACGGUACCAUAGGAGGAAGCCCCGGCUAACUACGUGCCAGCAGCCGCGGUAAUACGUAGGGGGCGAGCGUUGUCCGGAAUUACUGGGCGUAAAGGGUACGUAGGCGGCUAGGUAAGUCAGAUGUGAAAUCCAUGGGCUCAACCCAUGUAAGCAUUUGAAACUGCUUAGCUUGAGUUAAGGAGAGGAAAGUGGAAUUCCUGGUGUAGCGGUGAAAUGCGUAGAUAUCAGGAGGAAUACCAGUGGCGAAGGCGACUUUCUGGCCUUAAACUGACGCUGAGGUACGAAAGCGUGGGGAGCAAACAGGAUUAGAUACCCUGGUAGUCCACGCCGUAAACGAUGAGUGCUAGGUGUCGGGGGUUUAACCUUCGGUGCCGCAGUUAACACAUAAG